GGGGAGGGUAAAAAAAAUGGUGACAUCCCAUUAGUCUGACAACCAUUAUUCGGACAGCCCAAUACUCCGACAACAUGUACUAUUGAGACAGCCCAUUAUUACGACAACCCAUUACUCCGACAGCCCAUUAUUCCGACAAUAUGCGUUUUUCUUAGUGUAUGGAUAAAUUUUCUCUAAAAAAAAACCCAACUCCGCUCUCUGAUAUUUGUGGUUGUCCGUUUUGAUUCCAAUUAUUUUUUGCAUGCGGACAUUAAUUUUGUCUCAGUAUAUUGGAGUUGAUACACAUGAUUAUAGCAACUGCUCAGUCCUUAACCUCGCCCCUCUUUCGUUUUGCGUGUCUAGUUACUUUAUUUAUCUUUAUAUUUCGUUGUUUGUGUGUCUACUAUCAGUCUGUGCUGUUCUAGCUCGCUAUUUCUUGCAUGUGUGUCUUGAUCUACCUUCUUUUCACUAGAUCUUCGAAUCCCCCUUUUCGCGUAUCAGGGGAGUGAGGUUCCCCCACUAUGAACUACAUAAAUAAAUAAUACAUCGGAGUUGGAAAACACUACCCGCCCUCUUUGGUCGCAACACUUUCUCUCCUUGUAUCACUCAUCUGAGUUUUAUUUAAAUUUAUUUUGUUGCAGAAAUAAUGGGAUAAAGUAGCGUCAGUCAAAAUAAGAAAAACAAAGAGACAAAUACGUACCCAGAACCUAAAAAAUAAGAAGACAAAUAGGACGAAAUAUGUGCUCAGAAAAGAUGAGCAAUUCCAAUCAUGAUCAAUCAUGAAUACGGUAUCAUGUUCGGGAAUGAGAAUCCACGAAAUACGGAGACAGUACAUGUAGCACUUCUAAUAGCGAUCGUUCAGACAUAAUCCGAGAGAUGACACUCAAUAUUUUGUUGGGAGACUGAUUUUGUAUCCUAAGAUUAUUUUAAAUUCUAGAAAGAUAUGCCUCUUUUUUAAUGAUUGGUGGAGAUGCAGGACUGCAUGAUGAUUUACAACAAAACUUAUUACGAAAAACAAAUAUGACGGACAUGAAUAUUUCGGCAAUUUCUAUCUAAAUAUGCAUAAGGAAAAGUGAUAUCGGGUC
rnacentral:lncRNA from 1 species